rnacentral:rRNA from 1 species
UACGUAGGGUGCAAGCGUUGUCCGGAAUUAUUGGGCGUAAAGAGCUCGUAGGCGGUCUGUCGCGUCGGAUGUGAAAAAUCAGGGCUCAACCCUGGACCUGCAUUCGAUACGGGCAGACUAGAGUUCGGUAGGGGAGACUGGAAUUCCUGGUGUAGCGGUGAAAUGCGCAGAUAUCAGGAGGAACACCGGUGGCGAAGGCGGUGGUCUGGGCCGGCACUGACGCUGAGGAGCGAAAGCGUGGGGAGCAAACAGG